GAUGAACGCUGGCGGCGUGCCUAAUACAUGCAAGUCGAGCGAACAGAUGAGGAGCUUACUCCUCUGACGUUAGCGGCGGACGGGUGAGUAACACGUAGAUAACCUACCUAUAAGACUGGGAUAACUUCGGGAAACCGGAGCUAAUACCGGAUAAUAUAUUGAACCGCAUGGUUCAAUAGUGAAAGACGGUUUUGCUGUCACUUAUAGAUGGAUCCGCGCCGCAUUAGCUAGUUGGUAAGGUAACGGCUUACCAAGGCAACGAUGCGUAGCCGACCUGAGAGGGUGAUCGGCCACACUGGAACUGAGACACGGUCCAGACUCCUACGGGAGGCAGCAGUAGGGAAUCUUCCGCAAUGGGCGAAAGCCUGACGGAGCAACGCCGCGUGAGUGAUGAAGGUCUUCGGAUCGUAAAACUCUGUUAUUAGGGAAGAACAAAUGUGUAAGUAACUAUGCACGUCUUGACGGUACCUAAUCAGAAAGCCACGGCUAACUACGUG
rnacentral:rRNA from 1 species